GCUUACGGCCAUACCACCUUAGGCACGCCCGAUCUCGUCUGAUCUCGGAAGCUAAGCAGGGUCGGGCCUGUUUAGUACUUGGUUGGGUGACCGCCUGGGAAUACCAGGUGCUGUAAGCA
rnacentral:rRNA from 1 species